rnacentral:rRNA from 1 species
CCUGCGAAGGCAAGCGGAUCUCUUAAAGCUGUUCUCAGUUCGGACUGCAGUCUGCAACUCGACUGCACGAAGCUGGAAUCGCUAGUAAUCGCGGAUCAGCACGCCGCGGUGAAUACGUUCCCGGGCCUUGUACACACCGCCCGUCACACCAUGAGAGUUGGGGAUACCCGAAGCCUGUGAGCCAACAGUUAAAUGGGGCAGCAGUCGAAGGUAGAAUCAAUGAUUGGGGUGAAGUCGUAACAAGGUACC